rnacentral:rRNA from 1 species
UACGUAGGGUGCAAGCGUUGUCCGGAAUUAUUGGGCGUAAAGAGCUCGUAGGCGGUUUGUUGCGUCGGCUGUGAAAUCCCGAGGCUCAACCUCGGGUCUGCAGUCGAUACGAGCAAACUAGAGUGUUGCAGGGGAGACUGGAAUUCCUGGUGUAGCGGUGAAAUGCGCAGAUAUCAGGAGGAACACCGGUGGCGAAAGCGACUCACUGGCCCGACACUGACACUGAGGUGCGAAAGCUAGGGUAGCAAACGGG